CUGCCUGAUGAGAGGAGGACUCCACGUCACUCCGUGAGACAAGCCCCUGAUUGACUGCUCGGCUGUGUGAGCCUGAACCAACUGUGGCUGCCUGUCUGUCUCCGUCUUCGUCGUCCAUCUUUUGGUUUGCAUCACCGGGUGGCCUUUGCUGGAGCCUAAGACCCACUAGGAAUAGACAGAGGGAGGAGGCCACAUGAGAAGAUGCAUGAAGCUAGCUUGGCUCCAGCCCCAUUCUUUCCGAGGUUCUAGCAGAAGAACCAUCCAACUGAGCUUCAGCCAUCCCACAGAAUGACUGUCCUCCAAUCAAUGUUUCCUGGAAAUCCAGUUCAAGUUUACAAACUUCAGUUAAAGGC